GAUUUCAAUUGAAAAAGUCAUCAACAACAAAGUUGAAUAACUCAUCAAGAUCUAAAACUUUUAUUUUUGUUAUUUCUUCAUCUGACGAAAUGUUAGUAAUAUUAUUCAAAAAUUUUACAUAUAUGUGUUAUAGUUUAUAAAACCAGAUAAGAGAUAUGUCAAUUUUGUGAACAAUGUUACUAUCACUUUGUCGUAUGAAGAAAUGACCAAAAUAAAAGUUUUAGAUCUUGAUGAGUUAUUCAACUUUGUUGUUGAUGACUUUUUCAGUUGAUAUC
rnacentral:pre_miRNA from 1 species